rnacentral:rRNA from 1 species
AAUAAACGUUGGCGGCGUGCUUAACACAUGCAAGUCGGGCGAGAAAGGUCUUCGGACUGAGUACAGCGGCAAACGGGGUGAGUAACACGUGGGAAUCUACCUUUUAGUGAAGAAUACCCUCGAGAAAUCGAGGUUAAUACUGCAUACGUCUCGAAAGAGAGAAAGAUGGCCUCUUUGCUGUCGCUGAAAGAUGAGCCUGCGUACUAUUAGCUAGUUGGUAGGGUAAAGGCCUACCAAGGCUAUGAUGGUUAGCCGGCCUGAGAGGGUGUACGGCCACACUGGAACUUAGACACGGUCCAGACUCCUACGGAGGCAGCAGUGAGGAAUAUUGCGCAAUGGGCGAAAGCCUGACGCAGCGACGCCGCGUGGAGGAUGAAGGUCUUAGGAUUGUAAACUUCUGUUAAGCGGAAGGAAGACGAAGUGUUAAUACCACUUUAUGAUGACGGUACCGCUAAGAAAGCACCGGCUAACUUCGUGCCAGCAG